rnacentral:tRNA from 1 species
GACUUCGUGGUGUAGUGGUUCUGCACGCUGGGCCAGAAUUCCAGAGGUCCGUGGUUCGAUUCCUGGCGAAGGCG